rnacentral:rRNA from 1 species
CUCUCGGCAACGGAUAUCUUGGCUCCUGCCACGAUGAAGAACGUAGCGAAAUGCGAUACUUGGUGUGAAUUGCAGAAUCCCGUGAAUCAUCGAGUUUUUGAACGCAAGUUGCGCCUGAGGCCAUUCGGCUAAGGGCACGUCUGCCUGGGCGUCACG